GGACUCYGACAUAAAUGGGACCGCCUGCCUACAAAAGCUCCUCUCGCUCCGUCUACUUGGCGACAGGACUCUAAUCCCACCAAUUCAGUCCAGGGCCUCGGUUGAUUCUCGCUCUGUAUAGGCCAUACUACACUCYACUAUACCAUAUUGCCAGGUCUGGAGCASACUACAGGAUGCUAAAAAACCAAAACCUGAACUCRGCAMCUCUGAUAUUUGAACACCGAASCCGGGCUGGGCUGAACUUGAUUUUGGAAACUUAUCUUGAACCUGGAAACUGGAACUCUGACUCCUGGAAACUGCACUGMAGGAUUCUAGGCGGGAUCCCGAGCCCRAGGUUGCUCGCCUCCUACUGAAUGGUUUAUUAUAGAUUUUCUAGGAGUUAYCGCUCCUUUACGGUACAACUUCUUUGUAUGUGGAKCUCCCUUCAUUUCAAAAAGGCUAUCGGUCCAUACUGUAKAUACUUCAAKUUAAUGUAUGUUUUCWUUCUUUCYCUUUUUAUUCUCUUUGAAAUUUUAUUUUUUUAA
rnacentral:rRNA from 1 species